GAUGAACGCUGGCGGCGUGCCUAAUACAUGCAAGUCGAGCGAACAGAUGAGGAGCUUGCUCCUCUGACGUUAGCGGCGGACGGGUGAGUAACACGUGGAUAACCUACCUAUAAGACUGGGAUAACUUCGGGAAACCGGAGCUAAUACCGGAUAAUAUAUUGAACCGCAUGGUUCAAUAGUGAAAGACGGUUUUGCUGCCACUUAUAGAUGGAUCCGCGCCGCAUUAGCUAGUUGGUAAGGUAACGGCUUACCAAGGCAACGAUGCGUAGCCGACCUGAGAGGGUGAUCAGCCACACUGGAACUGGGACACGGUCCAGACUCCUACGGGAGGCAGCAGUAGGGAAUCUUCCGCAAUGGGCGAAAGCCUGACGGAGCAACGCCGCGUGAGUGAUGAAGGUCUUCGGAUCGUAAAACUCUGUUAUUAGGGAAGAACAAAUGUGUAAGUAACUAUGCACGUCUUGACGGUACCUAAUCAGAAAGCCACGGCUAACUACGUG
rnacentral:rRNA from 1 species